rnacentral:rRNA from 1 species
GACGAACGCUGGCGGCGUGCUUAACACAUGCAAGUCGAACGGAAAGGCCCUGCGUUUGUGGGGUGCUCGAGUGGCGAACGGGUGAGUAACACGUGAGUAACCUGCCCUUGACUUUGGGAUAAAUUCAGGAAACUGGGGCUAAUACCGGAUAGGAGCUCCUGCAGCAUGGUGGGGGUUGGAAAAUUUCGGCGGUUGGGUCUGUACUCGCGGCGUAUCAGCUUGUUGGUGGGGUUGGGGCGUAACAAGGCUUUGAUGGGUAGCCGACGUGAGGGGGUGGUCGGCCACACUGGAACGGGGCCACGGUCCAGACGCCUACGGGAGGCAGCAGUAGGGAAUCUGCCGCAAUGGGCGAAAGCAUGACGGAGCAACGCCGCGUGAGUGAUGAAGGUCUUCGGAUCGUAAAACUCUGUUAUUAGGGAAGAACAAAUGUGUAAGUAAAUAUGCACGUAUUGACGGUACCUAAUCAGAAAGCAACGGCUAACUACGUG